AACGAACGCUGGCGGCGCGCCUAAUACAUGCAAGUCGAGCGAGAAGACGUAGCAAUACGUUUGUAAAGCGGCGAACGGGUGAGGAAUACAUGGGUAACCUACCCUCGAGUGGGGAAUAACUAGCCGAAAGGUUAGCUAAUACCGCGUACGCUCCUUGGACUUCGGUUCAGGGAGGAAAGCGAUACCGUGGGUAUCGCGCUCUUGGAUGGGCUCAUGUCCUAUCAGCUUGUUGGUGAGGAACGGCUCACCAAGGCUUCGACGGGUAGCUGGUCUGAGAGGACGAUCAGCCACACUGGCACUGCGACACGGGCCAGACUCCUACGGGAGGCAGCAGUAAGGAAUAUUGCGCAAUGGGCGAAAGCCUGACGCAGCGACGCCGCGUGGGGGAUGAAGGUCUUCGGAUUGUAAACCCCUUUCGGGAGGGAAGAUGGAACGAGCAAUCGUUCGGACGGUACCUCCAGAAGCAGCCACGGCU
rnacentral:rRNA from 1 species